rnacentral:rRNA from 1 species
UACGGGAGGCAGCAGUGGGGAAUAUUGCACAAUGGGCGCAGGCCUGAUGCAGCCAUGCCGCGUGUAUGAAGAAGGCCUUCGGGUUGUAAAGUACUUUCAGUCGUGAGGAAGGUGUUAAGGUUAAUAACCUUAGCAAUUGACGUUAGCGACAGAAGAAGCACCGGCUAACUCCGUGCCAGCAGCCGCGGUAAUACGGAGGGUGCGAGCGUUAAUCGGAAUUACUGGGCGUAAAGGGCACGCAGGCGGUUAAUUAAGUUGGAUGUGAAAUCCCCGGGCUUAACCUGGGAAUGGCAUUCAAGCUGGUUAGCUAGAGUCUUGUAGAGGGGGUAGAAUUCCAUGUGUAGCGGUGAAAUGCGUAGAGAUGUGGAGGAAUACCGGUGGCGAAGGCGGCCCCUGGACAAAGACUGACGCUCAUGUGCGAAAGCGUGGGGAGCAAACAGGGAUUAGAUACC